rfam:Stegodyphus mimosarum contig67332, whole genome shotgun sequence.
ACCUUCGUGGUGUAUUGGUCAGUACACUCGGUGCGUAUUCGAGAGGUCCGAGGUUCGAGUCCCGUCGAAGGCA